UAUGUACUCCCUCCGUUCCGAAUUACUUGUCUUAGAUUUGUCUAGAUACGGAGAUAUCUAGCACUGUAUCUAGACAAAUCCAAGACAAGUAAUUCGGAACGGAGGGAAUAGUGU
rfam:Triticum urartu cultivar G1812 contig492125, whole genome shotgun sequence.